GAACUGAAGAGUUUGAUCAUGGCUCAGAUUGAACGCUGGCGGCAGGCCUAACACAUGCAAGUCGAGCGGAUGAAGGGAGCUUGCUCCUGGAUUCAGCGGCGGACGGGUGAGUAAUGCCUAGGAAUCUGCCUGGUAGUGGGGGAUAACGUCCGGAAACGGGCGCUAAUACCGCAUACGUCCUGAGGGAGAAAGUGGGGGAUCUUCGGACCUCACGCUAUCAGAUGAGCCUAGGUCGGAUUAGCUAGUUGGUGGGGUAAAGGCC
rnacentral:rRNA from 1 species